GACAGACAGACAGACAGACAGACUUUCUUAAAGGCCAAACAACACAACUCUUCACACAAAACACAUCACAAAAUGAGCAACACUUUAAUAAGAAUAUAAAUACAUUAAAUUAAAACACAACACCAAUGACAUACAGGCAGAAUCCUGUCCGUGCACCUUGGAGGCAGGUCCACUAGUAACACCUGGCAGGUCCACUAGUAACACCUGGCAGGUCCACUAGUAACACCUGGCAGGUCCACUCGUUACACCUGGCAGGUCCACUAGUAACACCUGGCAGGUCCACUAGUAACACCUGGCAGGUCCACUAGUAACACCUGGCAGGUCCACUAGUAACACCUGGCAGGUCCACUCGUUACACCUGGCAGGUCCACUAGUAACACCUGGCAGGUCCACUAGUAACACCUGGCAGGUCCACUAGUAACACCUGGCAGGUCCACUAGUAACACCUGGCAGGUCCACUAGUAACACCUGGCAGAUCCACUAGCAGGUCCACUAGAGAACUUCUGGCAGGUCCACUAGAGAACACCUGGCAGGUCCACUAGUCACACCUGGCAGAUCCACUAGCAGGUCCACUAGAGAACUUCUGGCAGGUCCACUAGAGAACACC